ensembl:lncRNA
UGGGACCUUAGUUGCCCAACCAGGGAUUGAACCCCCUCCCUUGCAGUAGAAGUGCAGGGUCUUAACCACUGCACCACCAGUGAAGUUCACACCUUGAGAUCUUGAACCUACUUACGUUGAUGGUGGUGAUGGUUUAAUUGCUAAAGUUGGACACGGCUUAGCGACUACAGCACCACCACCAAAAACUGCAUAAACAUUGUGGUUCUCAGUGGUGCCAUUCGCCAAAUAUUUCUGGAGGUGGUCCUGCCCAGGAACAAGAUGGAUGUGCCCUUGAAGUUGGGUACGGUCAUGUGACUCAUUGUGGCCAGUGAAAUGUCCCAUCACUGCCAGGUGGAAACUAUAAAAGCCAAUGCAUCAUCCCCUCCAGAUUCUUCUCAUUGCCUCAGUUACAAUGGGAGCGCUUGAAGUGCUGAGGACUCGGCCUCAGUCUUGAGAUACUAUAAUAAACCAGCAAAGGAACCAUCACUGACCCCACCACCGGCAGAAACACAAUGAGCAUAUUACAGGAGCAAAACAUAGAUGUUAUUUAUGCUCCUAAAAUGUGGGGGCUAUUUGUUGCUGCAGUAUAAUCAAACUUACCAUGACUGAUGCAAACACCAAACGGAUUACACAAAACAAGUCUGUGACCGUUUCUCUGAUUUGCAAUUUUGGAUGAAUUGUUUUUCUCCUCUUUUUCUCUUUCCUUGCUUCGAAUGUUUCCUUCUGUCAUAAGCUCUCUUCAUUUGGCUCAUCCAGCAAACGUUUAUGGAGACUUCUAUAAGGGAAAACUGCUCCAACAUACCAUAGUAGCAACAGCAAUGAAACCAUAAUUGUAAGAUAGUGGAGAUUGUCCUCAGACAACUAGUCCAACCAGAGAAGCACAACCUUUUUGGUCCACCAGGCAGAGGCGAUGCAGACCUCAAAGCAGACAGGCUGCAGAAGGUCUCCCAGCCCCGAACCCAGUCUUCUAAACCCUGUCAUGAUUUCUUACAGAUCAGAAGACUCUGAUCUAUAUGAAGCAUACUAACCCUCAGACCCCAAAGUGACACCUUGUGACAUUUUGCAUAACACAGCCUCCAGGCAAACCAGUUUCCUUUGGAAUCAGGCUAACUUGAUUUUAUUCCCUGCUUAGCUAUUUAUUCAAUGUGGGACUUGACUCCUCAAGUUUCUGUUGAACAGGGUCAAGCACACCUCCAGUUUGGCAGAGUUGUAAUGAAGAUCAGGCAUAACAUAGAGCAAGUACCCAGGGGAACAGCCCUUAGUUGGUGCUUAGUUAAUGGCAACUUUUGGGAAGACAGAGAUAUGGACAAAGUGAAGCAAAAGGGAUAUUUGGCAUAACGUUAGAAGUUACGACUCUGUGGAUAUGGAGAGUUAAGCCUCUGGAUUCUGGAGUGUGGCUGCCUGUGUUAAAAUCCUCUCAUGCCAACUGGGCAACUGUGAGCAAGAUACUUCACCUCUCUGGGCCUCAGUUUUCUCAUCUGUGAAAUAGGAAUGAUAAUAACAUUUGAUUUCCUAGGGUUGCUGCGCCAAGUGCCAGGCAUGUAAUAAAGAUAAACUGUACAUGCGACCUUUAUGUCCUUAUUAUGUAAAAAGCUGACAGCAGCAUUUCAAGUCCAGGUUGGAGAGCCGCCAGUAUGGUCUUGGGUGAAACCUCACUUCCCUGGGCUUCUGCAAAGACGCCUCCUCCAGGCUGGCCCUCUGGAAUUCACCUUUUGAAACAAGCACUUUACAAUGUCCCACAAGGCUUCAUUGUUUUCCCCUCAGCAGGGAACCCGUAUUCCUUCUGCACGCGUGCACUCAACUUGGAAACAGUUGGUUGCAGUCGCGCGCAGGCUUUUCUUCCCUGGGAUAGCAUGGCAAGACUGCCUGGGAAACCCGAUCUCCCCAACCCUCAGUUCUAAUCGUGUUGUUUCUUAGACUCAGGCUCCCCUAUAAAUCAUUUUUAAUGACACUUUGAGAAGAAAGACGUUGCAAAGCAAAUCUUACACGACGUUCUCAUCACCAACGGCAUUUAAUAUCCUAAAUCAUAUGCUUUAUGGUGUUGCAUCACGGGCCUCAGGCAAAUGAAGGCAGUCUAUUAUUUUUUGCUUCUGGUGCACCUCUUAUGUGCCUGAGGGUCACUCACUUUAGGGAAUGCCUGGCGGUUAUGCUUGGGAGAUUUGUUUUGGGGGAAGUUAGGAUGGUCGCACGGUCCAGCAGGAAUCUGGGGGGACUUUUUCACACAAUGAGGUGGCCUGUGCGGUGGUAUCCAGAGCUGGUAAUAUGAGAAAGUUAUGAGAAUAUAAG